rnacentral:rRNA from 1 species
GUAGCAUAAUAAGUUGCCUCUUAAUUAGAGGCUGGAAUCAACGAACGAACGCGAGCCCCGCUGUCUCUUUUAUACACCCAAAACUUAACCUUUAGGUGAAAAUGCCUAAAUCCAAUUAAAAGACAAGAAGACCCUAUCGAGCUUAAUUGUACAUCGUCAAGAAGCUUGCUAGCUCACCCAUCUUGCCUGAAGUCUCAAUUUUGUUGGGGCAACAAAGGAACACCCAAACCUUCCUCACAUCUAUUUACCCACACGAACAACGAGCCACUUUUAGUGACCUUAGGACAAAUGCUACCGUAGGGAUAACAGGUUAAUUUUUCUCGAGAGCCCACAUUAACAGAAAAGUUUGGCACCUCGAUGUUGG